rnacentral:lncRNA from 1 species
GUAAUCAGGACGAACCAGGCAAAGCUGGCGGCGCGCAGCCUGCAGUCCCAAGGAGCUCGCACAUUGUAGGGACUGUAAUCAACAGGCAGGCUGCCACACCUGCCCACUGGCACCUCCUGGCCGGCCCGGGUCUCCGGGCGAGUGGGGGUGCCUCACUACAAGCCUGGAUGAGGCGCGGCGCAGCAGGCCAGAGGAAAUACUAGAACCGAUGGUGCCAAAAAGGCAUCUCCGAGUUGCCCCCGGAGAGAAACUCAAUAGAACACCGGCAG